rnacentral:rRNA from 1 species
GAUGAACGCUGGCGGCGUGCCUAAUACAUGCAAGUCGAGCGAAUGGAUUAAGAGCUUGCUCUUAUGAAGUUAGCGGCGGACGGGUGAGUAACACGUGGGUAACCUGCCCAUAAGACUGGGAUAACUCCGGGAAACCGGGGCUAAUACCGGAUAACAUUUUGAACCGCAUGGGUCGAAAUUGAAAGGCGGCUUCGGCUGUCACUUAUUGAUGGACCCGCGUCGCAUUAGCUAGUUGGUGAGGUAACGGCUCACCAAGGCAACGAUGCGUAGCCGACCUGAGAGGGUGAUCGGCCACACUGGGACUGAGACACGGCCCAGACUCCUACGGGAGGCAGCAGUAGGGAAUCUUCCGCAAUGGACGAAAGUCUGACGGAGCAACGCCGCGUGAGUGAUGAAGGCUUUCGGGUCGUAAAACUCUGUUGUUAGGGAAGAGCAAGUGCUAGUUGAAUAAGCUGGCACCUUGACGGUACCUAACCAGAAAGCCACGGCUAACUACGUGCCAGCCGCCGCGGUAA